rnacentral:rRNA from 1 species
GAUGAACGCUGGCGGCGUGCCUAACACAUGCAAGUCGAACGGAGAUUACGGACGGAAGUUUUCGGAUGGAAGACUGUAAUUCUUAGUGGCGGACGGGUGAGUAACGCGUGGGCAACCUGCCCUAUACAGGGGGAUAGCAGCUGGAAACGGCUGGUAAGACCGCAUAAGUCGGCGAGACCGCAUGGUUUUGCCGGGAAAUGAGCAAUCAGGUAUAGGAUGGGCCCGCGUCCGAUUAGCCAGUUGGCAGGGUAAAAGCCUACCAAAGCAACGAUCGGUAGCCGGACUGAGAGGUCGGACGGCCACACUGGGACUGAGACACGGCCCAAACUCCUACGGGAGGCAGCAGUGGGGGAUAUUGCACAAUGGAGGAAACUCUGAUGCAGCGACGCCGCGUGAGUGAAGAAGUAUUUCGGUAUGUAAAGCUCUAUCAGCAGGGAAGAUGAUGACGGUACCUGACUAAGAAGCCCCGGCUAACUACGUG